rnacentral:tRNA from 1 species
CUACGGACUUAAAUUUUUUGAGCCUUGGUAUAGAAAUCCGUUGGUUUUAUAGAUCGUGAGGGUU